GACGAACGCUGGCGGUGUGCUUAACACAUGCAAGUCGAACGGAAAGGCCCUGCUUUUGUGGGGUGCUCGAGUGGCGAACGGGUGAGUAACACGUGAGUAACCUGCCCUUGACUUUGGGAUAACUUCAGGAAACUGGGGCUAAUACCGGAUAGUAGCUCCUGCUGCAUGGUGGGGGUUGGAAAGUUUCGGCGGUUGGGGAUGGACUCGCGGCUUAUCAGCUCGUUGGUGGGGUAGUGGCUUACCAAGGCUUUGACGGGUAGCCGGCCUGAGAGGGUGACCGGCCACAUUGGGACUGAGAUACGGCCCAGACUCCUACGGGAGGCAGCAGUGGGGAAUAUUGCACAAUGGGCGGAAGCCUGAUGCAGCAACGCCGCGUGCGGGAUGACGGCCUUCGGGUUGUAAACCGCUUUCGCCUGUGACGAAGCGUGAGUGACGGUAAUGGGUAAAGAAGCACCGGCUAACUACGUG
rnacentral:rRNA from 1 species